UACGUAGGGUGCAAGCGUUGUCCGGAAUUAUUGGGCGUAAAGAGCUCGUAGGCGGUCUGUUGCGUCGGCUGUGAAACCCGAGGCUCAACCUCGGGCCUGCAGCCGAUACGGGCAGACUAGAGUUCGGCAGGGGAGACUGGAAUUCCUGGUGCAGCGGUGAAAUGCGCAGAUAUCAGGAGGAACACCGGUGGCGAAGGCGGCGGACCUGGGUCGAGACUGACGCUGAGGCGCGAAAGCGUGGGGAGCGAACAGG
rnacentral:rRNA from 1 species